rnacentral:rRNA from 1 species
CAGAACGAACGCUGGCGGCGCGCUUAAGCAUGCAAGGUCGAACGGCAAGAGGUAGCAAUACCUCCUAGAGUGGCGGACUGGUGAGUAACACGUGGGUGACAUACCCUUCAGAUGGGGAUAGCUAUUAGAAAUAGUAGAUAAUACCGAAUACGAGCACAGGGGUUAGAGAUCUGUGAGGAAAGGAGCUAAGGCUCCGCUGAAGGAAUGGCCUGCGGCCCAUUAGCUAGUUGGUGAGGUAAGAGCCCACCAAGGCGAUGAUGGGUAUCCGGCCUUAGAGGGUGAACGGACACAUUGGGACUGAGAUACGGCCCAGACUCCUACGGGAGGCAGCAGCUAAGAAUAUUCCGCAAUGGACGAAAGUCUGACGGAGCGACGCCGCGUGGAUGAAGAAGGCCGGAAGGUUGUAAAAUCCUUUUGAAACUGAAGAAUAAGCGUUGUAGGGAAUGACAGCGUGGUGACAGUAGGUUUCGAAUAAGCAACGGCUAAUUACGUGCCAGCAGCCGC